rnacentral:rRNA from 1 species
AGGACGAACGCUGGCGGCGUGCUUCAUACAUGCAAGUCGAGCGGAAAGGCCCUUCGGGGUACUCGAGCGGCGAACGGGUGAGUAACACGUGAGCAACCUGCCCUUGGCUCUGGGAUAACCCCUCCGAAAAGAGGUGCUAAUACCGGAUAUGACUUCCUUCGACAUCGUCGGAAGUGGAAAGUUUUUCGGCCGAAGGAUGGGCUCGCGGCCUAUCAGCUUGUUGGUGAGGUAACGGCCCACCAAGGCUUCGACGGGUA